UAACACAUGCAAGUCGAGCGGCAGCGAGUUUUACACUGAAUUCUGGAAGCUUCUGAGUAAUAUAGAAGAUCCAUUCAAGAAUUUUGUGUAAAAUGUCGGCGAGCGGCGGACGGCUGAGUAACGCGUAGGAAUUUGCCCCAAAGUGAGGAAUAACUGCCCGAAAGGGUAGCUAAUGCCGCAUAUGGUCUUCGGAUUAAAGCCUUCGGGCGCUUUGGGAGAAGCCUGCGUUGGAUUAGGUAGUUGGUAGGGUAAUGGCCUACCAAGCCGACGAUCCAUAGCUGGUCUGAGAGGAUGAUCAGCCAGACUGGAACUGAGACACGGUCCAGACUCCUACGGGAGGCAGCAGUGAGGAAUCUUCCACAAUGGGCGAAAGCCUGAUGGAGCAACGCCGCGUGAAGGAUGAAGGCCUUCGGGUUGUAAACUUCUUUUAUGAGUGAAGAAUAUGACGGUAACUCAUGAAUAAGCACCGGCUAACUACGUGCCAGCAGCCGCGGUCAUACGUAGGGUGCAAGCAUUAUCCGGAGUGACUGGGCGUAAAGAGUUGCGUAGGCGGUUUAAUAAGUGAAUAGUGAAACCUGGUGGCUCAACCAUACAGACUAUUAUUCAAACUGUUAAACUCGAGAAUGGUAGAGGUAACUGGAAUUUCUAGUGUAGGAGUGAAAUCCGUAGAUAUUAGAAGGAACACCGAUGGCGUAGGCAGGUUACUGGGCCAUUUCUGACGCUAAGGCACGAAAGCGUGGGGAGCGAACCGGAUUAGAUACCCGGGUAGUCCACGCCGUAAACGAUGGAUACUAGCUGUUGGA
rnacentral:rRNA from 1 species